rnacentral:lncRNA from 1 species
CAUGCUAGAUGUAAUAGCAACGAUGAUGAACCUGGUGUGUCUAUCAAGAGCCUAGCUUGUAACCCAGUUCUUCCUCACAUCCUCCUUGGGCAGCAGGAAAACCCCAGAAGUGCAUUGCAGAUGCUCAGAAACCCUUGGGAGUCCACAGACAGGAUUGCAUGUGACACUACAAUCUGGACAGGGCCUGCUUGAGUCAGAGCUCCAAUAAACAUAGAUAAUGAGCACUGAAGACGACCAGAGGUUACUUUCAUCACCAUCUUGGUUUUGGUAGCUGCUUUACUGCAUCCUGUUUUAUCAGCAGGGUCUUUACCACCUCUGCCAGUCCUGUAGACCUUCUGUCUCAUCUUGUGACUAAGAAUGCCUAACCUCCUGGGAAUGCAGCCCGGCAGAUAUCAUCCUCAUUUUACCCAGCAGGUCAUGAUCCUGGCUGCUCCCUGCAGACUGAAAAGGUUGACUUCUAGAUCUAUACGUGACCAGCUUAAUUCUAGAGAGACUGUCUGAAGUACUGCACUGUGUUUAGUUUCCACGUCAUUUAUCACUGACAUCGUCUCAUGCAUGAAAGUGCAAGGAGAUUUAAGGAGCUGGCAUUUUCUCACAAGAUCUCCUUUAGUGGAACGGUGCCUAACAUGCUACUUAACUCACGCUGCCACUGAAACAUAACUCUCCUCUCCCCAGCACUUCUGUCUUCCAUGGAACAGCACAGUCUUCAGCAAGUAGAAAGCUCUACUCAGAACUCUUAGUCCUAUUGUGCUAAAAUGUGCGUCACACGCACAGGGUUAGGUCACAACCUAUCUUCGCACUUCAAAUCCCACGUCUCAAAAACAGCUGGACAGAACCUGGUUUUGUAAGAGCAAGUCACCUGAAUGACCAAGAAAUUCUCAAAUAGCACAAAGAAGACAAAAAGAAAAUACUACUUCUUUGAGUUUGAAGAAGACCGAGUUUAUGUGCCUCAUUAUGGAUUUUUACUUCUUCAAUUUGUUUUCAUUCUUCCAACCCACCACUUUUUUUUUUUACUGUCUAAAAGCAUUAAAAAAAUUUAAACCAGG